GUAGGUGAACCUGCGGAAGGAUCAUUAACACCUCUCUUUUGUAUCCAAAAUCUUUUUGGGUCACAAAAACCAACCUAUGUACGAACCGUUCUAUUGUUCUGUCCCAACCAAAACUCUUCUCUCUUUCUCGGUUUUGCGACCGAGGUGGGGAGGAGGAGGGUUGGGGGGCGAGUCUUUGCAGACUUUUGCCCCCCAGCCGUACUUUCUAUCAAACGAUUCUGACUCUAACUGACUGAAAUCGUGGGUUUGGUUUCUUGGGAUUUCUUCAUUGAACUCUCAAAACCCCCCCGCAAAAAUCACUAAACGUGAAACAACUCUUAACAACGGAUAUCUUGGCUCUC
rnacentral:misc_RNA from 1 species